UAGGGAAACUUAAGGGGAAGGAACUGUAGCUUUAAUAAAUCACACGUGAGGGGGCAGGCGCUGCAGGUGGCCCCGCACGUGCGGGAGGCAGAGCCCGCCCAGCCCCUCCUGCGGAGGUUGCUGAUCCACUGGGGCUCGGGGAGCCCAGGCGGAGGCCAGCCUCCCGCUGAGCUGGGGCUCAUGGAUCCAGCCGUAAUGAGAGUCUUCUUUUCCCAGGAAACGCUGUCCGGUGCUAGCACGUAAGCCCUGAGUAAGCGGUGAGGACGCUGUGCGCGUCUGCUGUCCCUUACACGGCGCUUGGCCUCCUUCCCUUCUCAGCGUCACGUGACAGUGGGCCUCGUGGAAGGGGCCAGGGCGAGCCUUCCGUUACUUAUUGACCAUCACAGCUUUUUGGCCACAUCGGAUGUGCAAACAAAUGAAAACGAUCUGUGAGCAAAAGCCGACAGGUCCUCACCCUCCGGCUCCACGCACAGCUGGGAGCAGAACAGACACCGACUUCCCACGGAACUGAGCAGCUCAAGGCUGUGGAACUUGGCCUCCAUUUGAUGGCUCUGGUCCGAAUGUCACAUGACCAGAGAGGCACUCACACUGCAUCCCACGGGUCCCCUGGUUCAGAGCCUCCCCGACAGGAGCCAGCUGUGCACCUUCUGCGCUUGUGUCCUCUAAGCCGUGGGUUACAUUUCACAGAACUGUUCCCAGAGCUCCGGCAGGCCCAUCACCACCUCCAGCUCCAGCCUCUGAGGAGACAGUGUCAGAUGGGUCACCUUGGAUGAGGAUCUACCACUUUUAGAAAAAAGGAAGAGGAAGCCCGACUUUAUAAAAUGCUGUGAAACUCUGAAACAUCUACUGUCCUUAAAUGAAUGUACUUACCCGAGUCUCAGGGAAAAGGGCCAAAAUGGCGGGAAAAGGAAGUGUUACGGAUUCUUUUGUUCUUCCCUGUCUCUCCCUCCCACCGGCAGAUAAGAUGCCUUCUCCAGCACGCUGCGCCUGCGCUGCCUCUCCCUCAGAUUUCAGGCUUUACUCUACUGAAAUGUUUGCUAAACAUGAGCUCACAGGCGCCUUAAGGACCAACACCAGUUGCCUUAAGGAUGGAACCAUCACUUCCCCAGCUGGUGAGGCCUCUGGGAGAGGGAGUCAGAGAAGGCUGUGGUCCGACGCUCCCCGAAUUCCUCCCAGGCCUCCCUGGCUUGGUUAGGAGAAAUUUCCCCCAAAUUUCCUUGGCUUCAUUCGUCCUUUUAUCUUUCCUUUUCCAACAAGGGGGAUAGAGUAGAACGAACGAAAUACAAAUAAAUGCACUGUUGUAUUCUAACUCAGCCAAGUCUUAGCUUGUUCCUGGCAUCUAGGUGGGCCUGGCUGGCACCAGAGGACUGUGGUAUCCGGGGCAGACUAUCAAAACUUAACAAGAGGCCCUUUUUUCUUAUGCUGUUUUCUUUCUUUUGGUAAAUGAUCCUAACAGGGAAGUCAAGCAACUUGUCAUGUCAAAGUCCACAGACUUAGAGGCCCUGAGCGCGGACUGGGCGCUGAGAUGAGGGUCCCUCUCCCU